CGGAUUGUAGUCUGCAACUCGACUACAUGAAGCUGGAAUCGCUAGUAAUCGCGGAUCAGAAUGCCGCGGUGAAUACGUUCCCGGGUCUUGUACACACCGCCCGUCACACCAUGGGAGUCGGGAAUGCCCGAAGCCAGUGACCCAAGCGAGAGCAGGGAGCUGUCGAAGGCAGGCCGGAUAACUGGGGUGAAGUCGUAACAAGGUAAC
rnacentral:rRNA from 1 species